AAUCACAUUACAAUCACUUUGACU
rnacentral:siRNA from 1 species